GUGCCCACCGCUAGUGUGACAAUAGAGGGAGCUCCUGAUCUGAACUGCGUCAGAUGGACCUCUGGGGGCAAAGACUCAGAGGGACGUGUGUGGAUAUAUAACAUUGGAGAGCUGGCUGUGCCCCACAGUGAGGAUUGGUCCUGCUUCGGACACACGCUGAUGGAGCUCCGUGCCAACUGUGGGGACAGUGGAGCUGGCCACGUAAACACAGGAUCAGAGUCAUCACCAGCCCAGACUGAGCCUGGUGUAACACACCCAAUUAGCAUGUUACUAGUAUUGUGCCAUUUGCUCCAAUGAAAGGGAAUCAACUUAAUCAUGCAGUCACCUGUCAAGAAAAGUUCAGAAAUAUCUUCAGUGGAUCAAAUCAGUACAAACAGUAGGCCUAUGCCGUCAGGAUUUGCUACCAAGGCUAAAGUGAGCUUAGGGUUUAGGUUGGGGUCAAGGGUAAGUAGGUGGUUUAACGUUGUAUAGGAAGUCAAAACUGUGAUUUACAUGACCGAUAAAGACUUUAGAAUCAGCUGCGCGGCGAGGGCUUGUGAUUAACUGGUUUAGAGAACAAAUCAUGAAUAAUCAAUAUUUUCGGACAAUUCCUAAAAUCCAGAGAUUAAUCGUUUACUGGAUCUGAAAUCACAUACUCUCCGAAUAGGAAGGCUUACUUCAAGAAAUGUUCUAUAAAGUAUGAAUGUGGGAAGUAUGAAAUUAAUCAAACCAUACUACAUUUGUAGUAAAUACAGCAAAUAAAUCAUAUUGUGAAUUUGAUUUCUCAGAGUCUGUGUGACUGUGUACAACAAAUGAAUAAGAAACGUCUGUCUAUUGAUUGGUCCUCUCGGAAUGCAUGUAAAAUAAACAUACAUGACCAAUUUUGUCCAAAUCAUAUUAUACUUUUAUGUGCUAAAUGUUUUUGAUUCGGAAAUGAAGACAAGGCAGAUUACUGAAAAGUUUUGUUUGAGCCCAUUCAUAAAUUAUAUAUACUGUAUUAUAAUUAAUAAUUAGCAAAGCUUGUCUAUCAUGUCAGCAAAAUAGACGUUGUAACUUCCUUUUACUUACCUGUCAUUCCAUAAUUAACGUGAAUAAUAAUGAACACAUUCUUUUUUUGGGGAAAGAGCUAUUUUGUGUCCCACACAAUAAAGUCAAUAAAGUUCGGAAUGAAUUUAAGGUGAUUAAAUAACAGAAUUUUCAUAUUUAGAUGUUUUACACUUGGCUUCGUUGCUUAGCAUUAAAAUUAGGUUUCAUAUCCAUGUGCUUUAUCUAGUUUUGUUGUGCGAGAGUUCAUUGUAUUUUACAUCCUGUGUCAUUACCUUGAUGGCAAUUACUACUAAAUCAAUGUUUAAUGUGCAUUUCGAAAAUGUGAAUUUGUAAUAGCAUACUGCUAGAAAAUACAUCUUCGAUGCUG